rnacentral:lncRNA from 1 species
CUUCAAGUUGUUUCACCUUGUCUGAAUCUCUUUUCCAGAUUCUUACCCUGCAAUGAAACCCAUUUUGUUAUGCCUCAAUAAAUAACAAAUAAUAAUGACUUUAUUUAAUUUUCAAAGAAAUAAAACCACUAAACAAAACAUUUGCCAUUCAAACAUAGUAUUGAAGUUCGACUUAACUUUUUUGCAAAUAGCUAACUAGAUCUAGAAGAAAAGAUAGAGUUUCCAUUGAGUUUCAUUUUCACUUAAAACUAAUAAUGUUACUAAUCAACAAAGAGUAAUAGUAUAGUAGAAAGAACACUGAAAUUAUCUCAUAUAAAAACUCUAUUCUCAUCUUAUCACCUAGUCUAGCUAAUACUGUAUGUAUGUACAGAUCUUCUGAAAAAGAAGAAAAUAAAGAAAGAAAAGAUGGAAGGAUUUGAAAUAAAAAUUAACGAUUUUUUCAAGAUAUAAAAUAAAACCACUGAAACAAAACAUAUAUAUAUAUAUAUAUAUAUAUAUAUAUACUUACAACCCAAGAAGCUUUAGCUGCAAGUCCUCGAUUCUUGCUUCAUUACUAGCCAUCAUCUCGUCAACCACUCCUUCUUUUCGAGUAAACAUAUUUUUAAACUGUUCCUCCUUGUGUGUAAAAGUGAAGGAAAGUUUCUCAAUUAAUUCAUCCAACCUCUUAUUCAUCCUUAGCUCAGUCUCUAUGAUACUUCUUUUCAUUUCUGUUUCAGAUGUUCCAGUAGAAGCUUCAAGUCUAGCAACCCUCUCAUUAAGGAUAGGGAUACUACUUAAGGAGCUCAAAGCAUCA